UACGAGAGGCCCAAACGUUAUUCGGAAUUACUGGGCUUAAAGAGUUCGUAGGCGGCGCAGAAAGUAGGGUGUGAAAGCCCUCGGCUUAACCGAGGAAUUGCGCUCUAAACUACUGUGCUUGAGGAACCUAGAGGUGAGCAGAACGUGAAUGGUGGAUGCGGUGAAAUGCGUUGAUAUCAUCAGGAAUACCGGGAGGCGAAGGCGGCUCA
rnacentral:rRNA from 1 species